AAAGUAAAACUCAACACUAGCAACAAAAAACUUCACAUACACGUUCCACGAAUUCUGACACAACAACACUUAGUUUUGAAUCAUCUCUACUUUCCUGUGUGGUUGUUUGUUUCAGUGAGCAUAAUCAUACUGAUCGAACUAUUGGAGCAGACAAUAUAAAGUGAUUUGUCUCGUUAAGAGGUUUGUAUAUUUUCUUAGGUGUAUGUAUAAGUGUUUUAACUUCUUUUUUGUAACUUGCAGGACAUAAAUGUUGUUGAUCGACCUAUUUCAUUAGCGUACACAGAUAAAACUGUUCAAGAUUCUCUUAAAAAAAGUAAGCUCUGUAGAAGCUAGUUUUUGUUUAUCUAAUGCGUUUUGAGUAGAUUCUGUUUUGGAAUAGUAAAAAUUUAGAAAUGUAUCCCUGAGAUUGCUUGAUUUUCUAGUAGUUUUUUUUUUGUCUAUUGCUUCAUUUCAGAGCUAAUAUGAAACUUUUGUCCAGGUUUAACACUUGAAAGUAUGAAUGAGAAGAAGCAACCUCGUCUGGGAAUAUCGGUUUUGGUUUAGUAAGUUUGACUUCUUUGCCUCUCUCAUCAAAACAUUAAACGCACGAAAACAUAAAACACAACCAAAACAAGUAAUCUCCACAACGUCAUGUUCACAUAACAUAAAACACAACCAAAACAAAAAUGUAACAAUAAACUCCACCCACAACGUCAUGUUCACAUAACAUAAAACACAACCAAAACAAAAAUGCAAAAAUAAACUCUAUCCACAACGUCAUGUUCACGUAAAAACACAUCCAAAACAAAACAAAAAUGCAAAAAUAAACUCCAUGUUCACAUAAACUCCACAACAUCACGGUCACAUAGGCUAAACUCCACAACAUCACGGUCACAUAGGCUUCCUUUGCAGCCCAAUUUCAAUAAAGAUUUUCUUUGUCUGUGACUUGUUUAAAUUUUAACUCAAUUCCUGUUUGUAUAUGUUCUCUUCGCAAUGUAAUUAUUGAGCUUCAUUUGUUUUAAAAAUGUAAAUUAAGUUGUUACCGUUGUGAUAGAAGAAAAAUUAACAGAAACAAAAUCUCGUAUAGAUUUCCUUAAAACUCAUAUUAAUAUAACCG
rnacentral:lncRNA from 1 species